rnacentral:rRNA from 1 species
AUUGAACGCUGGCGGCAGGCCUAACACAUGCAAGUCGAGCGGAUGAAGGGAGCUUGCUCCUGGAUUCAGCGGCGGACGGGUGAGUAAUGCCUAGGAAUCUGCCUGGUAGUGGGGGAUAACGUCCGGAAACGGGGCCAAUUCCGCCAACGGCCUGGGGGAGGAAGGGGGGGGUCUUCGGAACUCACGGUUUCAGGUGAAGCUAGGUCGGAUUAGCUAGUUGGUGGGGUAAAGGCCUACCAAGGCGACGAUCCGUAACUGGUCUGAGAGGAUGAUCAGUCACACUGGAACUGAGACACGGUCCAGACUCCUACGGGAGGCAGCAGUGGGGAAUAUUGGACAAUGGGCGAAAGCCUGAUCCAGCCAUGCCGCGUGUGUGAAGAAGGUCUUCGGAUUGUAAAGCACUUUAAGUUGGGAGGAAGGGCAGUAAGUUAAUACCUUGCUGUUUUGACGUUACCAACAGAAUAAGCACCGGCUAACUUCGUG